CCUUCCGGAGGCAGCAGUGGGGAAUCUGGACAAGGCAGGCAACCGUGAUCCAGCCCAGCCGCGGAAGCAAGAAGGCGCCACGCUGGUAAAGCUCUGAAUCCGUGAAAUAAAAACCUCUCUUUUAUCCGAGCGACUGACGGUACCUGCAGAAUAAGCCCCGCUAUUUCCGC
rnacentral:rRNA from 1 species